GACGAACGCUGGCGGCGUGCUUAACACAUGCAAGUCGAACGGAAAGGCCUGCUUUCCCUUGUGGAUUGCGGGUACUCGCGUGGCGAACGGGUGAGUAACACGUGAGUGAUCUGCCCCCAACUUGGGUAUAAGCCUGGGAAACUGGGUCUAAUUCCCGAUAGGACUGCAGGGUGGUGCCUGUGGUGGAAAACGAUUUUCUAGUGGUUGGGGAUGAGCUCGCGGCCUAUCAGCUUGUUGGUGGGGUAAUGGCCUACCAAGGCGGCGACGGGUAGCCGGCCUGAGGGUGGACGGCCACAUUGGGACUGAGAUACGGCCCAGACUCCUACGGGAGGCAGCAGUGGGGAAUAUUGCACAAUGGGCGGAAGCCUGAUGCAGCGACGCCGCGUGGGGGAUGACGGCCUUCGGGUUGUAAACUCCUUUCGACCGCGAGGAAGCCACCUGGUUGGAAGGGUGGUGACGGGAGUGGUAGAAGAAGCACCGGCUAACUACG
rnacentral:rRNA from 1 species